UAGCUUAAGAAAUUUAUAAAAAUCACAAAUGAAGGUUAUCGAGUGGUGGGCUUUGAACAUUCAACACAUAGCAGUUGUGGCCUCUUGAGGAUGCCAAAAGUUAUGUGACUUCCAGUCAAGUGUUACUUAUAUCUGUAAAUAUACAGGUGAUGCUCCUGUGUAAUCAUUGGAGUAUUAAAGAUGAAAGUGGAACCAUUUUCUGAUGAGAAUCAGAAUGUUUUGUUGGAUAUAAAACUGAUCAAAAAUGAAGAUGAAACUUUCACAAUAACAGAUAUAAUUAAUCUCCUUACGGGUUCGGCAGAUUUGACAGAUCUUGCAACCACCAUAAAAAUUUUGGAAUAAAUAUCAAUUAUGCCUCUUUCAUUCUAGAAUGAACACAAAUUAUAACACAAAGAUAUAAAUG